rnacentral:rRNA from 1 species
GAUAAACGCUGGCGGCGUGCCUAAUACAUGCAAGUCGAGCGAACGGACGAGAAGCUUGCUUCUCUGAUGUUAGCGGCGGACGGGUGAGUAACACGUGGAUAACCUACCUAUAAGACUGGGAUAACUUCGGGAAACCGGAGCUAAUACCGGAUAAUAUUUUGAACCGCAUGGUUCAAAAGUGAAAGACGGCCUUGCUGUCACUUAUAGAUGGAUCCGCGCUGCAUUAGCUAGUUGGUAAGGUAACGGCUUACCAAGGCAACGAUGCAUAGCCGACCUGAGAGGGUGAUCGGCCACACUGGAACUGAGACACGGUCCAGACUCCUACGGGAGGCAGCAGUAGGGAAUCUUCCGCAAUGGGCGAAAGCCUGACGGAGCAACGCCGCGUGAGUGAUGAAGGUCUUCGGAUCGUAAAACUCUGUUAUUAGGGAAGAACAUAUGUGUAAGUAACUGUGCACAUCUUGACGGUACCUAAUCAGAAAGCCACGGCUAACUACGUGCCAGCAGCCGCGGUAAUACGUAGGUGGCAAGCGUUAUCCGGAAUUAUUGGGCGUAAAGCGCGCGUAGGCGGUUUUUUAAGUCUGAUGUGAAAGCCCACGGCUCAACCGUGGAGGGUCAUUGGAAACUGGAAAACUUGAGUGCAGAAGAGGAAAGUGGAAUUCCAUGUGUAGCGGUGAAAUGCGCAGAGAUAUGGAGGAACACCAGUGGCGAAGGCGACUUUCUGGUCUGUAACUGACGCUGAUGUGCGAAAGCGUGGGGAUCAAACAGGAUUAGAUACCCUGGUAGUCCACGCCGUAAACGAUGAGUGCUAAGUGUUAGGGGGUUUCCGCCCCUUAGUGCUGCAGCUAACGCAUUAAGCACUCCGCCUGGGGAGUACGACCGCAAGGUUGAAACUCAAAGGAAUUGACGGGGACCCGCACAAGCGGUGGAGCAUGUGGUUUAAUUCGAAGCAACGCGAAGAACCUUACCAAAUCUUGACAUCCUUUGACAACUCUAGAGAUAGAGCCUUCCCCUUCGGGGGACAAAGUGACAGGUGGUGCAUGGUUGUCGUCAGCUCGUGUCGUGAGAUGUUGGGUUAAGCCCCGCAACGAGCGCAACCCUUAAGCUUAGUUGCCAUCAUUAAGUUGGGCACUCUAAGUUGACUGCCGGUGACAAACCGGAGGAAGGUGGGGAUGACGUCAAAUCAUCAUGCCCCUUAUGAUUUGGGCUACACACGUGCUACAAUGGACAAUACAAAGGGCAGCGAAACCGCGAGGUCAAGCAAAUCCCAUAAAGUUGUUCUCAGUUCGGAUUGUAGUCUGCAACUCGACUACAUGAAGCUGGAAUCGCUAGUAAUCGUAGAUCAGCAUGCUACGGUGAAUACGUUCCCGGGUCU